rnacentral:rRNA from 1 species
UACGUAGGGUGCGAGCGUUGUCCGGAAUUACUGGGCGUAAAGAGCUCGUAGGCGGUCUGUCGCGCUGGUGUGAAAACUCAGGGCUUAACCCUGAGCUUGCAUCGGGUACGGGCAGACUAGAGUGCGGUAGGGGAGACUGGAAUUCCUGGUGUAGCGGUGAAAUGCGCAGAUAUCAGGAGGAACACCGGUGGCGAAGGCGGCAUCCUGGACCGGCAU